ACCAUUAUGUAUAUUACCCUUAGUCAGCCAAUGUCAUUAGGCAUUGGGGGUGGGGGAUGGGGGAGAUAAGCUAAAAGGAAAUAUGGGUAUGAAUUAAAAUGGGCAGUAACAAGCCCAGCUCAUUUAUAUGAUUCUUGUUGCUCCUGCUAGGAUGCAUAGAUAUUCACCAAAAAGAGUUUCAAAUUUUAUGUUAAAGAAUAUUUUUUCAGCUGGGCCUUUGUGUUUGUUUUACAUCAAGGAUGCUAAGCUUCUCUGAAAAAAACACCAUUGAAAAAGAUGAAGGAAAAGAGGGCAUAUAAACUACAGCAUAAAGUAGGAUAAAUGCAAAUGAGGUUCGGACCGGAGUUUAAUUCAAUGGGCACGAUUACCGGCAAUUAGAAUUUCACUUUAAUACAAAAAAUUUUGGGUGGACAACACAAUAUAAGAAAUUGUCGCUAAGCACUACUCAGAAAAUUGGGACUGUGACUGCAGCAGCAAUGACGGAAGAAUGGCUUCUCCUUCCUUACCGGCAAGAGACUGAGAAGAUGAGUAACUCAAACUAUAGGCAAUAAUGCCGAUACGCAGGAAUCCUUAAUUUUAACUAGUCAUCAGCACUGAAGAUCGGCAAUGCCAGAGGUCGCUGACGUGGCUCAUGGUCAAGAUUGAAAUCACCAGAACAGAACUUCUGGAACCAUCGAUGGGCUGUGUGUUCAUUAGCCAUAUCCUUGCCCUGCGUUUCUGUGGCCACAGGCCCUGGUUCAAGGUGGUAGGCCAGGCUAGCAGAUCACUCUCAUUGGCUGUCAUUGUAUUUUUUUCUUCACGGAACUCAUUAGAUUAAGUACCCAAAAUGGUGCUGACAUGACGAUUUGGGGUGACACUUUGAACACGGCAUGUUCAGAGCUAUGGGCCACCAUGGUCUACUGUUGACCCUUAGGCUAAACAAACUGCAGAAGAAAUCUACAUUGUUUCAAUACAAACAGGUUCCAAAGAGCCAUUGCAUGAGAUUAAACAGAAAUGGUGAAUUUGACAAUCACUAACACAAAUGGAUGAUUUCUGGACCAGAAAAGGAAGGGAUUCUGCAAGGACAUUAUGAAGAAUUUUCACAUGAACUGUUGAAUAAGCAAAUAUGUAAGUGCUCUUCUCCAUCCACUAUUCUAAAUCUUCAUUGAUA